CUACCUGAUCCGAGGUCAACCUUUGGAAAAUUGGGGGGUUUUACGGCAAGAGUCCCUCCGGAUCCCAGUGCGAGACGUAAAGUUACUACGCAAAGGAGGCUCCGGGAGGGUCCGCCACUACCUUUGAGGGCCUACAUCAGCUGUAGGGCCCCAACACCAAGCAGAGCUUGAGGGUUGAAAUGACGCUCGAACAGGCAUGCCCGCCAGAAUGCUGGCGGGCGCAAUGUGCGUUCAAAGAUUCGAUGAUUCACUGAAUUCUGCAAUUCACAUUACUUAUCGCAUUUCGCUGCGUUCUUCAUCGAUGCCAGAACCAAGAGAUCCGUUGUUAAAAGUUUUGAUUAUUUGCUUGUACCACUCAGAAGAAACGUCGUUAAAUCAGAGUUUGGUUAUCCUCCGGCGGGCGCCGACCCGCCCGGGGGGGCGGGAGGCCGGGAGGGUCACGGGGACCCUACCCGCCGAAGCAACAGUUGUAGGUAUGUUCACAAAGGGUUGUAGAGCGUAAACUCAGUAAUCAUCCCUCCGCAGGUUCACCUACGGAA
rnacentral:rRNA from 1 species